CCGGACCAGGGAGAGCCAAUCAGAGAGCAGCACUACUGAAAUAGAACUCCCAGGAGGAGCAGCGUGUCACACAUGUGAUGUCAUAACCAUUGUCCACCAGAGAGCAGCACUGAGCAGAAAUAACACGGCUCCUGCUCAUUCUUCAUCAGUGAGGGGCUGAUGUUGGACACUGUAGGGACCCUGGAAUAUAGGUGCAUACACAUGACUGAUGCAGUAUUUCCAGGAUGUGGAGUCGCAUUUCCGGACUUACAGUAAGAUGACUGUAUUUCCAGGAUGUGGAGUCGCAUUUCCGGACUUACAGCAAGAAGUUGGAUGAAGGCCCAGCCCCAGGAAUCACUCACAUACACAGACACUUUGCCCAAAUUCUAGAGGUAACCUCCUUUAGUAUGCCCAGAGGAAGGGCAAUACAGUAGCCAUGGAUUCCCUACAGGUUUCCUCCCCUCUGGAGGUUUUUCCUGUCCUGAGUUAGUUACUGUACGCUCUUUGUGAGUGAUGGAGGUUACAUAAAAUCCCGACACAAACAUUUUAAUAAAUAAUAAAUAAAGUUCCCCUUU